UCUCUGGUGGUCCAGUGGUUAAGACCAUGCACUUCCAAUGCAGGGGUUUCAGGUUCGAUCCCUGAUUGGGGAA